GUUCAAUGCAAGAGAUUUGCUCAGACUUUUCCUUCUGUACUCGGCACUGGUGAGGCCGCACCUUGAGUUCUCUGUUCAGUUUUGGGCCUCUCACUAUGAGAAGGAUAUUGAGGCCCUGCAGAUUGUCCAGAGAAGGGCAACGAAGCUGUGAGGGAUCUGAGCACAAGUCUUAUGGGGAGCGGCUGAGGGAAUCAGCAUUCUUCAAUCUGAGGAAGAGAAGGUUCAGGAGUGACCUUAUCACACUCUACAGCUGCCUGAAAGGACAUUGUAGUGAGGGAAAACUUGCUGAGGCAAAGCAAUAGAUUGCACCAAACAGUUUAUAUGGAGUCUUCCUUCUAGGAAGAGAAUCUAAGAAUUCAACCCACCUGAUUUUGCAUUUAAGAUAUGGAUGUGAAGUACAGCAAAGACAAGUGGAUGAAUACUUGAACAUGAGCAAAGAACACAAAUUAGCAAGUAUGGAUUGGCCAUCGUCUCUCAUGGUGCCUCUACUGCCUUUCAUAUCUUAUUUCCUCAUGGUUUUAACAA